rnacentral:rRNA from 1 species
CAACCUGCCUCAUACAGAGGGAUAAUCAUGUGAAAACGUGACUAAUACCGCAUGUCAUUACUGGAGGGCAUCCUCCGGUAAGAAAAGGAGCAAUCCGGUAUGAGAUGGGCCCGCACCUGAUUAGCUAGUUGGUGAGAUAACAGCCCACCAAGGCGACGAUCAGUAGCCGACCUGAGAGGGUGAUCGGCCACAUUGGGACUGAGACACGGCCCAA